GAUGAACGCUGGCGGCGUGCUUAACACAUGCAAGUCGAACGAAGCACUUUAUUUGAUUUCCUUCGGGACUGAUUAUUUUGUGACUGAGUGGCGGACGGGUGAGUAACGCGUGGGUAACCUGCCUUGUACAGGGGGAUAACAGUUGGAAACGGCUGCUAAUACCGCAUAAGCGCACAGCAUCUCAUGAUGCAGUGUGAAAAACUCCGGUGGUAUAAGAUGGACCCGCGUUGGAUUAGCUAGUUGGUGAGGUAACGGCCCACCAAGGCGACGAUCCAUAGCCGACCUGAGAGGGUGACCGGCCACAUUGGGACUGAGACACGGCCCAAACUCCUACGGGAGGCAGCAGUGGGGAAUAUUGCACAAUGGGCGAAAGCCUGAUGCAGCGACGCCGCGUGAGCGAAGAAGUAUUUCGGUAUGUAGAGCUCUAUCAGCAGGGAAGAUAAUGACGGUACCUGACCAAGAAGCACCGGCUAAAUACGUG
rnacentral:rRNA from 1 species